AACUCUACAACCUUAUCACAGUUUUAAGGGUUUGGCGGAAAAGGAAUGCAUACUACUCAGACCUACAGUUAACAUAUGAGAAACAUUACUGAGAGUCAUUCAGCAGCCUCCUCAUGGGAAAGGGUAACAUUAUGAGAACUUGACCCUCCCACCAGUCAAGGAGAGCCAGACAUGCCAUUCUCUGGGGACAUUGAUAGCCACCAAAGAGCUGGUCAUGGCAGGGAUUUGGAAAGGACAAGGUGAAAGAAGAGAAAGAGAGGGCAACGAAAACAGAUACAUAGUUCAAUUUCUCUCCAUUUCCCUCCCCACACCAACAGGCUCCCAACUCACUCUCAAUCAUCCAGGGAGCAGAAGCAUAACCUUGAUAUUGAACUCACAUUUCUUGUACACCUCUACCCCAAUAUAACGCUGUCCUCGGGAGCCAAAAAAAAAAAUCUUACUGCGU